GACAGAGGAUGCAAGCGUUAUCCGGAAUGAUUGGGCGUAAAGCGUCUGUAGGUGGCUUUUUAAGUCCGCCGUCAAAUCCCAGGGCUCAACCCUGGACAGGCGGUGGAAACUACAGCUGGAGUGACGGUAGGGGCAGGAGGAAUUUCCGGGUUCGGAGGCGGUGGAAAUGACGUAGAGAUCGGAAAGAACACCCAACGGGCGAAAGCACUCUGCUGGGCCGACACUGACACUGAGAGACGAAAGCUAGGGGAGCGAAUGGG
rnacentral:rRNA from 1 species